rnacentral:snoRNA from 1 species
AAAUUAUGAUGGGGGCACUUCCUCUGCAGCUCUUUAAAUUCCUCCCAUGCCUCAUAUAGAGUAUCUCCAUCCUUUUGACAGAAAUUUUGUAUUUCUCUUCUCAGCUU